UGAGUAAUGUCUGGGAAACUGCCUGAUGGAGGGGGAUAACUACUGGAAACGGUAGCUAAUACCGCAUAACGUCGCAAGACCAAAGAGGGGGACCUUCGGGCCUCUUGCCAUCAGAUGUGCCCAGAUGGGAUUAGCUAGUAGGUGGGGUAAUGGCUCACCUAGGCGACGAUCCCUAGCUGGUCUGAGAGGAUGACCAGCCACACUGGAACUGAGACACGGUCCAGACUCCUACGGGAGGCAGCAGUGGGGAAUAUUGCACAAAGGGGGGCAAGCCGGAUGAUGCCCCUUGCCGUUGUGUGAAGAAGGCCUUCGGGUUGUAAAGCACUUUCAGCGAGGAGGAAGGUGGUGAGCUUAAUACGCUCAUCAAUUGACGUUACUCGCAGAAGAAGCACCGGCUAACUCCGUGCCAGCAGCCGCGGUAAUACGGAGGGUGCAAGCGUUAAUCGGAAUUACUGGGCGUAAAGCGCACGCAGCGGUUUGUUAAGUCAGAUGUGAAAUCCCCGGG
rnacentral:rRNA from 1 species